rnacentral:lncRNA from 1 species
UUUAAAAAAAAAAAAAGCGAACCCAGAACAAAGACAGGACAUUGACAAGAGCUAUACUGGGAUCCCAAGCAGUUCCAAGAAUAACUUGCCCUUUCUGUACCUUCCCUUCAAGUUCCAGAAAGCUCUCAAGGUUGUUUGUUUGCCAGAAGGAUGUGCAUGUUCGUGUUUAGUUUUUCAAGUGAUAAAACGGGAAGGGGGGGGGGUUCCAAAGAAGGGCUAGCACUGGACCUUGCAAACAUUAAUAAAUAUUUGUCUAACUGAAUUGAAAUGCUUGUCUAGCCCACCCUCUGGGAGAAGCGCGGCGCCAAUGCGUGAUGUGAAUUUUGAAGCCAAGUUGACUCUGGUAUUAGAUAAACUUUCUGAUCCCAGUUCCUCCUCCCUGUGGCUUUCCACUUCGGCAAGGAAGGGACGAGUGGGGACUGUGAGGAGGGGAAGGGGGGCGGAGAAGGAGAUGGGGGUGUGUGUGUGUGGGGGGGAGUCCUAGCGCCGCGCAGGCGCUUUCCCCACCACCUCUUACCAUCACCCCCCCGCUCCCAAUCCCCUGUCGGGGCUCGGAGCCUCAGCUCCUGUGGGACGCCAAUGCACUUGUAAAGGGAGGGCUGGAGGCAGACACAAAGCCUGGGCCCUCCCCCUCCGUGUCCUCCUCCUCCUCUCUGCUCGGAAGUCCUGCCCUGGUGCUGCGCUGGUGCCAGUCCAGGGCCGAGGCUCUCCUUCUGUCCCACACACCCCCAGCCCAGACCUCUCGACCUGCAGCGAGGGCAGUGCAAGGUAACCUACAGUUUUGA